UUUUCAUCUUACGCAUAACUCCUUGUACUGCUAUCUUACUUUCAUCAUCUUUACAACUAUCCCAAUUCAUUUUUGCCAACUUCUUCCUCCUUAUACUUUCCUGAACAUCUUCAUUCCACCACCAAGUCUCUUUGUCAUCCUUCCUCUGUCCAGAUGUCACACCCAGGACUGUCCUCACUUUCUCCCUCA